rnacentral:RNase_P_RNA from 1 species
GAGGAAAGUCCGGGCUUAUUAGUAGAAUUUGUUGCAGGAUAAGUUCCUGUGCAAGUAAUUGCGAGGCUAGUGCCACAGAAAGAUACCACUAUAUUUUAGCAAGGGUGCAACGGUGUGUGUGUCAUAGUAUGCAGAUUUUAUGGUAUUCUACAACAGGGUUAAAUAGUUAAUAGACGAUUGCAGCAAGCUUCUUAGAAGAUAACUUUUUCUAAAUUCUCUCAUUAGAACACUCAAUGAUAGAAAUGGUGUAUUGCAUAGCUAAAUGUUGUUUCAAUUUUGAUCUUUUGGCCUAACUUGUGCUUUAUUUAGUAAACUGUGUCAAAAUGAAUAGAUCUUUAUAGAGAGGACCUUUUAAAUCGGACAGUCCUUGUGAGCAUUUUUUGUAAAAAUACAAUCGCAAUGCUCUUUUAAAAGCUAACGCUUAUUGAGUUAAGAGCGCACCAGCGAUGCUGAGAAGUAUUUGCUAGGUAAACCCCAACAACAAGCAAACUCGUUCAUUAGUCUUAACUACUUAAACCUACGAUCUAAAAGUGCACAAAGUUAUAAGUAAUUGUGACUUCAGAUAAAUAACCAUCCUUUUGGUAUAUCGGUAUUUAUUUAUCAAUAUACCAAAAGAACAAAACCCGGCUUAG